GGUAAGGGGUAGAAAAAGUACUCUGUCGUGCUCGUGCUGCCACGACAGGGAUUUGAAAUGAAGAGAAUACUACGAUCGCUCCUCCCUCCACAGUCCCACUCUCAUGUACAGUACGGGGACGGGAAACACCAGACUGCUGCUGAAACUGCUGUCAUUGUAGGCGAAUGACAGCGCGCGCUCCACGUCUGUCACUCUCCAGCAUCUUUUAUCCCUAUGAAGAAGAAUUCUCACCGUCCUAAAAAGAACUAAGCAGAGGAACAAGGCAGCACACUCAGACAGAAGAUUACUUGCUGAUAACAAUCUUUUGCUCAGAAAGUGUGGAACUUUCCAUUAAAUUUCCAAUCCACACUUGUUCCUUAACCUUAAGCCCCAUCUGGCGGUCCGAUGAGAUUGCUAUUCGAACCAGAAAAUCCUGCCAGAGACAGGAGGCAGGGGGCAUGCAGGAUGGGACUUGACUGGUGGCGGUGGGGAGGUGGAGGUUGCCGUGUUGGCACACUGAAACAGCAAAGAGUGAGCAUGGGGAGAGCGGCAUACAAGUGGCCACGCCACCAGCAGAGAGGGAGUGAGUCUGGGUCCAGAAGUCUGUUUGUGAAGCUAAUGAGUGGUUAUUAACCUGAUGAGUUAUUGUGAAGCUG